UGUGACUCUGAGCCGUAGAGUCAGGCACAGUCAGGAAAGAGACAAAGGAAGCAGAAAGAAUGGAUGCUGGGGAAGAACCAAUUUGGGUGGUUGGGGGAGUAGCAUUUUACUUCCAUGGACAACUUGAAAUGAUUUAGAAGAUACAAGGCCAACGAAGCUACGUUCUUUGUAUGCAAACAUUGGAGCAUUAGAGAGGAAAACAGGAAACUGAGUGGAGACUUUGAAAAGAAACAGUCUGGAGAAGAUGGAACCAAUAUGCUUUUAUUUCAUGUAAAGAUGCAAUUCGUUGUCAAAAGGGAGUGAUAAUUCAUUGUAAGGAGAAUCUAAUCUGAAAUGCCUAUUUUCCUCUCUCAUAGAUAUAUAGCCACAAUGGGCACUCCUCCCUAUUUCAGAUCUUUGUCUACAGAUGAUGACUGUUGUCCCCCACCCCGCAUUUUUGGAACAUAUCUUUGGUUGUGUGUCCUCGGUUCUUGUUCUGCAACUUUAGCAAUCAACAAGUACUAACUGAAAAACCGAGGCAGCAAAGUAUAAAACACAGGUUUGGGCUCUAAUAGCAUUGGAUAUCAAGAACGGCUGACAUCCAGACUAGCAAAGCGCUGCUGCUAUGUGAGGUGCACCAGUGCUGCUGAUGGGUUUGACUAAUGCAGCACCAGCACUGACAUGCAGCCCUCAAAGACAUACUUUUGGGUGGCACAGAACACUUCUGGGGGAAGGGGAGGUCACUGAAAUUUGCCCCCCAUCCCUCUGCAAGCUCCAGUGCUGUGUUAGUCAGGAAUUCGUCAGCAGCACCGGCACACCUUAUGUAGUUCUUCGUUAGUCUGGAUUAGCUAUUAACAAAACAAACCAUUAGUUUAACCAACCAAAGGAUUGAUCUUUUCACUGAUCUGCAGGCCUAAUAUUAGUGGCCAUUUUCCCCCCAAUUGGUUAUUGCAUAUGGUGAGUGACAAGUUAAAAUAAUAAAGAACAAAUGGUAUCUGCAUAGCAAAUAAAUAUCUAAAAUGUUAAAUCUAGCUGUUGUAAUGACUAUUUUUAAAUAGGGUUUGGGCUUUAAAAAAAUUUAAGGAAAUAAGGUUUAAAAAAUCUUUUUUGUAUAUUAUUGGCAGGUCUGAACUUUUCACUUUAACUGGCAAAAACACAGAACCAUAACAACUCACUGUCAAAAGAGUUACACAGAGGGAAGAGAUGGCAAUAAAAUAAACAUCUAUCAUUUUAA